rnacentral:rRNA from 1 species
CCUACGGGAGGCAGCAGUGGGGAAUAUUGCACAAUGGGCGCAAGCCUGAUGCAGCAACGCCGCGUGCGGGAUGACGGCCUUCGGGUUGUAAACCGCUUUCAGCAGGGACGAAGCUUUUUGUGACGGUACCUGCAGAAGAAGCACCGGCUAACUACGUGCCAGCAGCCGCGGUGAUACGUAGGGUGCGAGCGUUGUCCGGAUUUAUUGGGCGUAAAGGGCUCGUAGGCGGUUGAUCGCGUCGGAAGUGGAAACUUGAUGCUUAACGUUGAGCGUGCUUUCGAUACGGGUUGACUUGAGGAAGGUAGGGGAGAAUGGAAUUCCUGGUGGAGCGGUGGAAUGCGCAGAUAUCAGGAGGAACACCAGUGGCGAAGGCGGUUCUCUGGACCUUUCCUGACGCUGAGGAGCGAAAGCGUGGGGAGCGAACAGGCUUAGAUACCCUGGUAGUCCACGCUGUAAACGGUGGGUACUAGGUGUGGGGUCCAUUCCACGGAUUCUGUGCCGUAGCUAACGCAUUAAGUACCCCGCCUGGGGAGUACGGCCGCAAGGCUAAAACUCAAAGGAAUUGACGGGGCCCCGCACAAGCGGCGGAGCAUGCGGAUUAAUUCGAUGCAACGCGAAGAACCUUACCUGGGUUUGACAUGGAUCGGAAGCUUCCAGAGAUGGUUGUGCCUCUUUUGGGGUCGGUUCACAGGUGGUGCAUGGCUGUCGUCAGCUCGUGUCGUGAGAUGUUGGGUUAAGUCCCGCAACGAGCGCAACCCUCGUCCACUGUUGCCAGCAAUUCGGUUGGGGACUCAGUGGAGACCGCCGGGGUCAACUCGGAGGAAGGUGGGGAUGACGUCAAGUCAUCAUGCCCCUUAUGUCCAGGGCUUCACGCAUGCUACAAUGGCCGGUACAGUGAGUUGCGACAUCGUAAGGUGGAGCGAAUCUCAAAAAGCCGGUCUCAGUUCGGAUUGGGGUCUGCAACUCGACCUCAUGAAGUCGGAGUCGCUAGUAAUCGCAGAUCAGCAACGCUGCGGUGAAUACGUUCCCGGGCCUUGUACACACCGCCCGUCAAGUCAUGAAAGUCGGUAACACUCGAAGCCGGUGGCCUAACACUUUUUGUGGGGGAGCUGUCGAAGGUGGGACUGGUGAUUAGGACUAAGUCGUAACAAGGUAGCCGUACCGGAAGGUGCGGCUG